rnacentral:rRNA from 1 species
AUUGAACGCUGGCGGCAGGCUUAACACAUGCAAGUCGAGCGGAGAUGAGGUGCUUGCACCUUAUCUUAGCGGCGGACGGGUGAGUAAUGCUUAGGAAUCUGCCUAUUAGUGGGGGACAACAUUCCGAAAGGAAUGCUAAUACCGCAUACGUCCUACGGGAGAAAGCAGGGGAUCUUCGGACCUUGCGCUAAUAGAUGAGCCUAAGUCGGAUUAGCUAGUUGGUGGGGUAAAGGCCUACCAAGGCGACGAUCUGUAGCGGGUCUGAGAGGAUGAUCCGCCACACUGGGACUGAGACACGGCCCAGACUCCUACGGGGGGUAGCAGUGGGGGAUAUUGGAGAAUGGGGGGAACCCUGAUCCAGCCAUGCCGCGUGUGUGAAGAAGGCCUUAUGGUUGUAAAGCACUUUAAGCGAGGAGAAGGCUACUGAGACUAAUACUCUUGGAUAGUGGACGUUACUCGCAGAAUAAGCACCGGCUAACUCUGUGCCAGCAGCCGCAGUAAAAC